CAAAAUGGGAGGUAAAUUUCUCCUAAGGCUAAAUAUCGGCGAGAGACCGAUAGCGAACAAGUACCGUGAGGGAAAGAUGAAAAGAACUUUGAAAAGAGAGUAAAAUAGUACGUGAAAUUGUUGAAAGGGAAACGAUUGAAGUCAGUCGUACCGACGAGAAAUCAACUUAUCGUGUGCGAACUUGUGGGCGUGCGUGAGUUUCGGCCUCGCUGUUUGCAUGUUUGUGCAUUUUGGGUGUACUUUCUCGUAUGGUAGGCCAACAUCAGUUUCGUUUGCUAUAAAAUGACCGGAGGAAUGUAGCUUUGAUCUCGUAUUGAAGUGUUAUAGCCUCUGGUAGAUGUGGUGAUCGAUACUGAGGAUUGCAACGAAUACCUUUUGGGCUAUCCGUCUGACCUCUGAAAGUUGCUUAGGUGCCGAAAGCAUGCUUACGGUUAUUUAAGUUGACGGUCAAUAGGUUAGAACGCGAUUAUA
rnacentral:rRNA from 1 species